rnacentral:rRNA from 1 species
CUUGUUGAGACAAACAGGAGUAUCACUUAUAACCAUGUUUACAAGCUUCUAAAAUUGGUUCUAAUCCUACUAGUUGCAACACCUAGAGUUGAGAAAGUAUUCUCUUCAAUGACUUUUGGUAAAAACAAGUUACCGACCAUUUUGUAUUUCUAUUGCCGUGAACCAAUGGGCUCUUCUAUUAGGGUGCAAAAAAAAAAUGUAACACCCAAUGUUGAAUUCCUGGAUUCGCCACUGACCAUACUAACUACAUAUCGCGCAGUUUGUCCGGAGAGAUGGCUGACGGGUCGCUCAGCUUGGACGUCGAGGCCGGCUCACUCGCGGCGGCUGCAACGAAGGGCCGCCGGUGGGUGGAGUGCAUGGUGUUCACCGUGGGCCUCGCCACUUCCUGCAUGUCGGCUGCCUCGGUCAUGUACAAGGCGCUCGCCGGCAUCUUCGUCGGCCACAGCUGCGUAUCAGAAUCGUAUCGCGCGCCGCUGCGUCCUGUGCGUUUCGUUCCUGACCCUGGCGUUCAUGGCGGGCCUCGGCGGAGUCCGCAUACUCGUCAAGUAG